rnacentral:rRNA from 1 species
UACGUAGGGUGCGCGCGUUGUCCGGAAUUAUUGGGCGUAAAGGGCUCGUAGGCGGUUUGUCGCGUCGGGAGUGAAAUCCACUGGCUUAACUGGUGGCUUGCUUUCGAUACGGGCAGACUGGAGGUAUGCAGGGGAGAACGGAAUUCCUGGUGUAGCGGUGAAAUGCGCAGAUAUCAGGAGGAACACCGGUGGCGAAGGCGGUUCUCUGGGCAUGUCCUGACGCUGAGGAGCGAAAGCGUGGGGAGCGAACAGG